UACAGAGGGUGCGAGCGUUGUUCGGAAUUACUGGGCGUAAAGCGUGCGCAGGCGGUUCGCUAAGACCGAUGUGAAGUCCCCGGGCUUAACCUGGGAACUGCAUUGGUGACUGGCGAGCUAGAGUGUGGCAGAGGGGGGUAGAAUUCCACGUGUAGCAGUGAAAUGCGUAGAGAUGUGGAGGAAUACCGAUGGCGAAGGCAGCCCCCUGGGCUAACACUGACGCUCAUGCACGAAAGCGUGGGGGGCAAACAGG
rnacentral:rRNA from 1 species